rnacentral:rRNA from 1 species
ACGUAGGCAGCAAGCGUUGUUCGGAAUUAUUGGGCGUAAAGGGUGCGUAGGCGGUUUCGUAAGUUCGGUGUGAAAUCUCCCGGCUUAACUGGGAGGGUGCGCCGAAUACUGCGAGGCUUGAGUGUGGGAGAGGUAGGCGGAAUUCCUGGUGUAGCGGUGAAAUGCGUAGAUAUCAGGAGGAACACCGGUGGUGUAGACGGCUUACUGGACCACGACUGACGCUGAUGCACGAAAGCGUGGGGAGCAAACAGGA